rnacentral:tRNA from 1 species
ACCUGGCUGGCUCAGUUGGUAGAGCGUGAGACUCUUAUUAAUCUCAGGGUUAUGAGUUCAAGCUCCAUGUUGGGUG